CUGGCGGCGUGCUUAACACAUGCAAGUUCGAACGAUGAAGCGGUUGCUUUGCACCGUGGAUUAGUUGGCGAACGGGUUGAGUAAUACGUGAGUUGACCUACCUUUUGACUCUGGGAUAAGCCUGGGAAACUGGGUCUAAUACCGGAUACGACCAAUCUCUGCAUGGGGUGUUGGUGGAAAGCGUUAUGGAGUGGUUUUAGAUGGGCUCACGGCCUAUCAGCUUGUUGGUGAGGUAAUGGCUUACCAAGGCGACGACGGGUAGCCGGCCUGAGAGGGUGACCGGCCACACUGGGACUGAGACACGGCCCAGACUCCUACGGGAGGCAGCAGUGGGGAAUAUUGCACAAUGGGCGCAAGCCUGAUGCAGCGACGCCGCGUGAGGGAUGACGGCCUUCGGGUUGUAAACCUCUGUUAGCAUCGAAGAAGCGAAAGUGACGGUAGGUGCAGAGAAAGCGCCGGCUAACUACGUGCCAGCAGCCGCGGUAAUACGUAGGGCGCGAGCGUUGUCCGGAAUUAUUGGGCGUAAAGAGCUUGUAGGGCGGUUGGUCGCGUCUGCUGUGAAAGGCCGGGGCUUAACUCCGGUUUUGCAGUGGGUACGGGCUAACUAGAGUGCAGUAGGGGAGACUGGAAUUCCUGGUGUAGCGGUGGAAUGCACAGAUAUCAGGAGGAACACCGAUGGCGAAGGCAGGUCUCUGGGCUGUAACUGACGCUGAGAAGCGAAAGCAUGGGGAGCGAACAGGAUUAGAUACCCUGGUAGUCCAUGCCGUAAACGUUGGGCACUAGGUGUGGGGGACAUUCCACGUUUUCCGCGCCGUAGCUAACGCAUUAAGUGCCCCGCCUGGGGAGUACGGCCGCAAGGCUAAAACUCAAAGGAAUUGACGGGGGCCCGCACAAGCGGCGGAGCAUGCGGAUUAAUUCGAUGCAACGCGAAGAACCUUACCAAGGCUUGACAUGCAUUAGAUCGCGUCAGAGAUGGCGUUUCCCUUCGGGGCUGGUGUACAGGUGGUGCAUGGUUGUCGUCAGCUCGUGUCGUGAGAUGUUGGGUUAAGUCCCGCAACGAGCGCAACCCUCGUUCUAUGUUGCCAGCGGUUCGGCCGGGGACUCAUAGGAGACUGCCGGGGUCAACUCGGAGGAAGGUGGGGAUGACGUCAAAUCAUCAUGCCCCUUAUGUCUUGGGCUUCACGCAUGCUACAAUGGCCGGUACAGAGGGUUGCGAUACUGUGAGGUGGAGCUAAUCCCUUAAAGCCGGUCUCAGUUCGGAUUGGGGUCUGCAAACUCGACCCCAUGAAGUCGGAGUCGCUAGUAAUCGCAGAUCAGCAACGCUGCGGUGAAUACGUUCCCGGGCCUUGUACACACCGCCCGUCAAG
rnacentral:rRNA from 1 species